rnacentral:rRNA from 1 species
GGAAUGUAUUAACCAUAAAGUUCUAGAUAAGGGAUUGAUUAGGACAAAUACUUAUCUAUGUGUCUUGACCAAAUCAUGUGCCAGCAGUCGCGGUAACACAUGGAAGACUAGUGUUAUUCAUCUUUAUUAGGUUUAAAGGGUACCUAGACGGCAGAUUUCGCCCCUAAAGGGUACAAAUAAGCUAGAGUUUGGAGUGAGAAGGUAGAAUUCUUGGAAGAGAGAUGGAAUAUCGAGAGACCAAGGAGACUGGCAGCGGUGAAGGCAACCUUCUAAAGAAAAACUGACGUUGAGGGACGAAGGCUUGGGUAUCGAUAAGGAUUAGAGACCCUUGUAGUCCAAGCAGAAAAUCAUGAGUGUCAUAUAUUAAAAUUUAAUGUAUAAAUGAAAGUGUAAGCAUUCCACCUUAAGAGUAAUGUGGCAACGCAGAAACUGAAAUCAUUAGACCGUCUCUGAAACCAGUAGUGAAGUAUGUUAUUUAAUUCGAUGACCCCCGAAAAACCUUACCACAAUUUGUAUAUUAUUAAGUUAAUAGCAGGUGCUGCACGGCUGUUUUUAGUUAAUGUCGUGAGAUUCUG